UACGUAGGGUGCAAGCGUUAAUCGGAAUUACUGGGCGUAAAGCGUGCGCAGGCGGCUUUGCAAGACAGAUGUGAAAUCCCCGGGCUCAACCUGGGAACUGCAUUUGUGACUGCAAGGCUAGAGUACGGUAGAGGGGAUGGAAUUCCGCGUGUAGCAGUGAAUGCGUAGAGAUGUGGAGGAAUACCGAUGGCGAAGGCAGCCCCUGGGAUAACACGUGACGCUCAUGCACGAAAGCGUGGGAGC
rnacentral:rRNA from 1 species